CUGUGCGGCGCCCGACCCCAAUCUCCUCGCAGGUCACGUGCCGCGCGGGGGCGCAGGGGCGGGACCAGGGCGCGCGCAGGCGCAGUCCGGCGGGGGUGGUCUCCCCAUCCUCCUUCCAGCCCUGCGGGGGCGUGAGCAGCCUUGGCGCAGAGACUCUGGGAGACUGUGCAGGAUACGACCGCCUCCUGAGUGCUGGAACUAUAGGCAUGCACUACCAUGCCCAGCCAUCUUCAGCUCUGUUUUUACUUCCGACCCGAACGUAUGACCCCUAACUUGGACAAGAGCAGCAGCGUCCUUGGAAUGUCCCACCACUUUAGCAGAACCCUGGAAUGUCCCGGGCCAGCAAAGUCUCAAUGAAACACAGAUGCACAGCAUACCUGCAACUGCUGUGGAUUUCCAACCAGCCUAAAAUGAGUCAAGCAGCUGGACUUCAAGUGAUUUAUAGGUUAUAAACAAAUAUGAUAGUUCUUCCA